rnacentral:rRNA from 1 species
AGUCGAGCGAACAGACGAGGAGCUUGCUCCUCUGACGUUAGCGGCGGACGGGUGAGUAACACGUGGAUAACCUACCUAUAAGACUGGGAUAACUUCGGGAAACCGGAGCUAAUACCGGAUAAUAUAGUGAACCGCAUGGUUCAAUAGUGAAAGACGGUUUUGCUGUCACUUAUAGAUGGAUCCGCGCCGCAUUAGCUAGUUGGUAAGGUGACGGCUUACCAAGGCAACGAUGCGUAGCCGACCUGAGAGGGUGAUCGGCCACACUGGAACUGAGACACGGUCCAGACUCCUACGGGAGGCAGCAGUAGGGAAUCUUCCGCAAUGGGCGAAAGCUUGACGGAGCAACGCCGCGUGAGUGAUGAAGGUCUUCGGAUCGUAAAACUCUGUUAUUAGGGAAGAACAAAUGUGUAAGUAACUAUGCACGUCUUGACGGUACCUAAUCAGAAAGCCACGGCUAACUACGUGCCAGCAGCCGCGGUAAUACGUAGGUGGCAAGCGUUAUCCGGAAUUAUUCGGGCGUAAAGCGCGCGUAGGCGGUUUUUUAAGUCUGAUGUGAAAGCCCACGGCUCAACCGUGGAGGGUCAUUGGAAACUGGAAAACUUGAGUGCAGAAGAGGAAAGUGGAAUUCCAUGUGUAGCGGUGAAAUGCGCAGAGAUAUGGAGGAACACCAGUGGCGAAGGCGACUUUCUGGUCUGUAACUGACGCUGAUGUGCGAAAGCGUGGGGAUCAAACAGGAUUA